rnacentral:rRNA from 1 species
GAAACCCGGGAGGAAGGUGGGGAUGACGUCAAGUCAUCAUGGCCCUUACGGCCUGGGCUACACACGUGCUACAAUGGUCGGUACAAAGGGUUGCCAAGCCGCGAGGUGGAGCUAAUCCCAUAAAACCGAUCGUAGUCCGGAUCGCAGUCUGCAACUCGACUGCGUGAAGUCGGAAUCGCUAGUAAUCGUGAAUCAGAAUGUCACGGUGAAUACGUUCCCGGGCCUU